GGAAAGAGGAUUAAGGAUAUGAGAGUGGAUGUGGUGAAGAGGAAGAAGAGGAGGACGCUGAGGCUUGCAUCAUGACGGAGCUAUAAACUGAUAAAUGGUCGGGCAAAAUGUUAUAAUUUACAAUGUCUUACAAGAUAUGGCAAAGGUAAUGCAUAUGAAUAUUGUAUUACGAGUACCAAAAUAAGGAAAAUAUUAAGGGGAAAUGAUUAGUUAAAGAUAACAGAACACACGAAAAAUAAGUGAUUGCAAAAUAGAGAAAAUAUUAGAUAUGGAUAUAUGUGAAAGAUAAUGGGUGUAUUAAGACUGAAUUACGGGUACUGAGAAUAGGAAAAGAUGAAGGGGAAAUAAUAAGCAAAAGAUGAUAGAACUUACGAAAAAAUAAGUGAUUACAAAAUAGAGAAAAUGUAGUCAUGGAUAAAUAUGAAAGAUAACGAAUAUAUUAAAACUGAAUUACGAGUACUGAGAAUAGGAAAAGAUGAAGGGCAAAUAAUAAGAAAAAAAGAUAUAGAACACAAGAAAAACUAAAUCAUUGCAAAAUAGAGAAAAAAAGUUAAUGUAAUGGAUUAGUAUGAAAAUAAUUAGUGUAUUAGACGGAAUUACAAGCACCGAUAUAAGAUAAAGAAAAAGGGAUAAUGGGCAGUAGAGAAAAACGACAACACACGAAAAAAAUACGAGUUACUGCAAGAUAGUGAAGAAAGAUAAUGCGAUAUAGAUAGAAAGAUAAGGGAAAGGAAAGGUAAAAGUAUAUUACGAUGAACUGAGAGUGCCAAGUGAUCGCUGAGAAACGCUGGAAAAGUUUGCUGUAACGAUUUUUCUUACAGUAAUGGAGGCAGAUUAAGGACAAAAAAACGUACAGUGAGGGAGGCAGGUUAAGGACAAAACACGUACAGUAAAGGGAAGCAGCUCAAGGACAAAAAACGUACAGUGAGUGAGGCAGUUCAAGGACAAAACACGUACAGUAAAGGGAAGGAGCUCAAGGACAAAAAACGUACGGUAAGUGAGGCAGUUCAAGGACAAAAAACAACAACAACAACAACAAAAAAAAACCGUACAGUAUGAUACGUAGGCAUGUCAAGGUAAAAAAAAACGAAAACCUAACAACAUUUAAUCAACAACAACAACAAAAACAAGGAUAUAAAACAACCUGGUCUAUUUCUUAUUUGUUUAUUUUAUACAUAUCUCCUUAAUAUAACUCACACGGUAUAAAAACAUUGAUCAGGACGGUCAAACAUAAGCACAACAAAAAAUAAAACACCUACAGGUUACCGCUGGAUUUGCCUAUUGAUCUUGUACAUAUCUCCUUAAUAUAAAUCACACUAUAUGAAGACAAUUGUUAUCACAUUCAAGGUAAAAUGACAAAAAAAUAAAAUACAUACAGGUUUUCGCUGGAUUUGCCUAUUUGUUGAUCUUGUACAUAUCUCCUUAAUAUAAAUCACACUCUAUGAAGACAAUUGUUAUCAUAUUCAAGGUAAAAUGACAGAAAAAUAAAAUACAUACAGGUUUUCGCUGGAUUUGCCUAUUUGUUGAUCUUGUACAUAUCUCCUUAAUAUAAAUCACACUCUAUGAAGACAAUUGUUAUCAUAUUAAAGGUAAAAUGACGGAAAAAUAAAAUACAUACAGGUUUUCGCUGGAUUUGCCUAUUUGUUGAUCUUGUACAUAUCUCCUUAAUAUAAAUCACACUCUAUGAAGACAAUUGUUAUCAUAUCAAAGGUAAAAUGACAGAAAAAUAAAAUACAUACAAGUUUUCGCUGGAUUUGCCAUUUGUUGAUUUUGUAUAUACGUAUCUCCUUAAUAUAAACCACACGAUAUGAACACAAUAAUCAACACAGCAAAAUAAGAGUAAUUAACACAAAACUGAAAUACAUCCAGGUUUUAUUGCAACGUAUAUCACCGGCAUUAACUUUGAAGCAGACGGAUUGAUACAUUACGGCAUAAAAUGGAACACAGCAGCGCCAGCAUCAACAUUACUGACAACAGGUGCGGGGAGCGGGCGGCCUUACAGCGAACACCGGCUUUUUGCGCUUGUGGGAAUGGCUUGACUUUCUGUGUGAAUAGAGCGUAGAAAAGACCCGUGCUACUUUUACGGUAGAUGCAGGCUUAGUGUGUUAAUUUUUUUUUUUUUUUUUACAACAAAGGAGGCAGCUCAAGGGCACACAAAAAAAGAAAACAAUAAUAAAAAAAAAUCCCGCUCAUUAAAAACACCUUGAACAGUCUCAUUUAGCAAAACACCUGAUGAAAACUUGGAAAAUGCGGCUAAAUUGCACGAUUAUUAUUAUUAUUAUUAUUAUUAUUAUUAUUAUUAUUAUUAUUAUUAUUAUUAUUAUUAUUAUUAUUAUUAUUAUUAACAUUAUUAGUCGUAUUUUUCCUAUUAUUAGUAUUUUCAUAAUUACAUUGUUAAAAUCGUUGUUAUCAGUGGUGUUAAUAAUAAUAAUAAUAAUAAUAAUAAUAAUAAUAAUAAUAAUAAUAAUAAUAAUAAUAAUAAAAAUAUAAGUAAUGAUAUUGAGUUUACACGGUCUAUAAAGUCCCCAAUUAACAGUUUAUGAAGUAAAAAAAAAACUACCUUUUACAAAGUCACCAAUGGCCACUGUUUAAAGGUGCAAAAUGAAUGAUUAUACAAUUCCAGUUGACAUUUUUGAAGGUCCCAAAUUGACAGUUUAUGAAAACUCCAAUUAACAGUUUAUGGAGCCCCAGUUUACGGUUUAUAAAGUCAUAAAUCGAAGUAAUAUAAAGUGUCCGGCUGGCAGUUUAUGAUGUUUGGAAUUGACGGUUCAAAAGUACAGAAUUUGCUUCAUAAAGUUAAUGAUGGAGAGUUUAAAAAGUCCAGCAAUGGUUAUUUUAAAUUCUUCAAUAUACACUUUAUGAAUUUCCUUAUUUCUAAAGUUUGUAAGUACUAAAGUGACGGUUUAUAAAAGUAUACAAUGUUCUACGUUGUCAUUUUAUAAAGUUCAUAUCGACAGUUUAUAAGCUCCCUCAUUGACAGGAUAAAACUUCCACGAUUGACAGCUUAUAGUCUCACUAAGAAUUAAAAAGUCCGUGAACACAGUUUGUAAAGUGCAAAAUUAACUGAUGUGAUAGUUUAACUUAACAGUUUUUAAAGUCCCAAAUUGACAGUUUAUAAGGUCCCAUAUUGACAGUUUAUAAAGUCCCAAAUUGACAGUUUAUAAAGUCCCAAAUUGACAGUUUAUAAA